GAUGAACGCUGGCGGCGUGCCUAAUACAUGCAAGUCGAGCGAACAGACCAGGAGCUUGCUCCCCUGACGUUAGCGGCGGAGGGGUGAGUAACACGUGGAUAACCUAACUAUAAGACUGGGAUAAUUUCGGGAAAUCGGGUCUACUACCGGAUGAUAUAUUGAACCGCGUGGGUCAAUAGUGGAAGUCGGUUUUUCUGACACUUAUAGAUUGAUCCGCCCAGCAUUAGCUAGUUGGUAAGGUAACGGCUUACCAAGGCUACGAUGGUGAGCCGGCCUGAGCGGGUGAUCGGACACACUGGAACUGAGACACAGCCCAGACACCUACGGUAGGACGCAGUAGGGAAUCUUCCGCAAUGGGGGAAAGCCUGACGGAGCAACGCGGCGUGAGUGAUGAAGGUGCUCGGAUCGGAGAGCGCUGAUAUUAGGGGAGAACAAAUGUGUAAGUAACUAUGAACGUAUUGACGGUACCGAAUCAGAAAGCCACGGCUAACUACGUG
rnacentral:rRNA from 1 species